rnacentral:piRNA from 1 species
UGUCACAGCUACAAAGGGAUGAAGUGG